GUCCCCAAGCCUCUCGACGAUGCUCAUCGGGGACU
rnacentral:sRNA from 1 species